AAAAGUGUCACUUCCACCGCCUUUGUGUCGCAGCUUCUUUUUCUCCGUGUGAAUGUGAAGGUAAACGGUGUGUGUGAGCUGCUGUGAGUUCAGCAGCAUGGAUCAGUGUGAGGAUCCUCACAGCUCUCUGUGGGGGGAACAGAAGAAGCAGAACAAAGCUCAGAGGAAAGAACCUGGAUCUGGACCUGAACCAGAACCUGGACCUGGGCCUGAACCUGAUUCUGAACCAGAACCUGGACCUGCACGCAGCUGUGUGUCCUUUAAGAGCAACUGGUCCAAGGAUCUUUACAUUGA